AGUGAACGCUGGCGGUAGGCCUAACACAUGCAAGUCGAACGGCAGCACAGGAGAGCUUGCUCUCUGGGUGGCGAGUGGCGGACGGGUGAGGAAUACAUCGGAAUCUACUCUGUCGUGGGGGAUAACGUAGGGAAACUUACGCUAAUACCGCAUACGACCUACGGGUGAAAGCAGGGGACCUUCGGGCCUUGCGCGAUUGAAUGAGCCGAUGUCGGAGUAGCUAGUUGGCGGGGUAAAGGCCCACCAAGGCGACGAUCCGUCGCUGGUCUGAGGGGAUGAUCAGCCAAACUGGAACUGAGACGCGGUGCAGACUCCUACGGGAGGCAGCAGUGGGGAAUAUUGGACAAUGGGCGCAAGCCUGAUCCAGCCAUACCGCGUGGGUGAAGAAGGCCUUCGGGUUGUAAAGCCCUUUUGUUGGGAAAGAAAUCCAGCUGGCUAAUACCCGGUUGGGAUGACGGUACCCAAAGAAUAAGCACCGGCUAACUUCGUGCCAGCCGCCGCCGUAA
rnacentral:rRNA from 1 species